AGUAGGUGGAAUGCAAUGGUGUCACCAGAAGCAAAGAAAAUCACUAGGAGAACUGAUUCUCCCAGGAGGUUCCAUGUACUCCCAGAUCUAAUUUGGAAGGUUCAUGAGGUCCUAAAAGGGAGUGGACACUGUACUGGAAUUACUGAGCUGAUUGUGUUGGGAAGACUGGUCAAUCCUCCCACAAAAGGAAAACUCCACUGCAGCAUUUGAAAAUGUACAAAUUUCAAAGGACAACUGAGUUUUACUUUACCUAGUGAUUCAAAACUACAAUAUUUCAUGAUCCAGAAUGAUCCAGAUGAUCCAGAAUGAUUCCAGAAUGAUCUUGAUCAUUCCAGAUGUGUUGGAGAAGACUGUGCUAUGGCUGUUGCUAUUG